rnacentral:rRNA from 1 species
CGCGUAGGCGGUUUUUUUAAGUCAGAUGUGUAAUCCCCGAGCUCAACUUGGGAACUGCAUCUGAGACUGGAAGGCUAGAGUACUGGAGAGGGUGGUGGAAUUCCUCGUGUAGCGGUGAAAUGCGUAGAGAUGAGGAGGAACACCAGUGGCGAAGGCGGCCACCUGGACAGUAACUGACGCUGAGGCGCGAAAGUGUGGGUAGCAAACAGGAUUAGAUACCCUGGUAGUCCACGCUGUAAACGAUGAACACUUGGUGUGGAGGGAGUUGACCCCUUCCGUGCCGGAGCUAACGCGUUAAGUGUUCCGCCUGGGGAGUACGGUCGCAAGGCUGAA